CACGACAAACCCGUAGGUCCGAACUUGUGUUAGGCUGGACCACAAGGUCGAUCCUAAGGGUACGUCGUGU
rfam:Rhodnius prolixus Rhodnius_prolixus-3.0.3-330.3, whole genome shotgun sequence.